ACAGUGUUCAGUCAGCUGAUGACUUCAAGAUUUUAUUAAACACUCCUUGUAAAUAAUUUAUUUGAAGGUUAGGUAAGGCCGGUCAUGUUGCCAAUCCCUGGAGGAGCCAUCUAUUCACAAGAUCUGAAACUAGACAAUGUCCUGUUGGACCACGAGGGUCACUGUAAACUGGCAGACUUCGGAAUGUGCAAGGAGGGGAUUUGCAAUGGUGUCACCACGGCCACAUUCUGUGGCACGCCAGACUAUAUCGCUCCAGAGAUCCUCCAGGAAAUGCUGUACGGGCCUGCAGUAGACUGGUGGGCAAUGGGCGUGUUGCUCUAUGAGAUGCUCUGUGGUCACGCGCCUUUUGAGGCAGAGAACGAAGAUGACCUCUUUGAGGCCAUACUGAAUGAUGAGGUGGUCUACCCUACCUGGCUCCAUGAAGAUGCCACAGGGAUCCUAAAAUCUUUCAUGACCAAGAACCCCACCAUGCGCUUGGGCAGCCUGACUCAGGGAGGCGAGCAUGCCAUCUUGAGACAUCCUUUUUUUAAGGAAAUCGACUGGGCCCAGCUGAACCAUCGCCAAAUAGA
rnacentral:sRNA from 1 species